GGUACAUCUAGUACUAAUUCUAAAGGUUCAUCUCCUCAACCCUCUAUUGGUACACGUGGUAAAUCUAAUGGUACAUCUGGUACUAAUUCUAAUGGAUCAUCUCUUCAAGCUUCAACUACCAGAUAUGUUGCAUUUAGUUCAAAAGGAUACUGUUGGUCUGGUGGAA